rfam:Triticum aestivum genome assembly, contig: Triticum_aestivum_CS42_TGACv1_scaffold_220658_3B
AAAGUACUCCCUCCAUCCCAAAAUUCUUGUCUUAGAUUUGUCUAGAUACGGAUAUAUCAAGUCAUACAUCUGUAUGUAGACAAAUCUAAGACAAGAAAUUUGGGACAGAGGGAGUAGUUG